UACGUAGGUGGCAAGCGUUGUCCGGAAUUAUUGGGCGUAAAGAGCGCGCAGGCGGUCGAUCAAGUCGAGUGUGAAAGCCCCCGGCUCAACUGGGGAGGGUCAUUCGAUACUGAUCGACUCGAAGGCAGGAGAGGGUAGUGGAAUUCCCGGUGUAGUGGUGAAAUGCGUAGAUAUCGGGAGGAACACCAGUGGCGAAGGCGACUACCUGGCCUGUUCUUGACGCUGAGGCGCGAAAGCUAGGGGAGCAACGGG
rnacentral:rRNA from 1 species